rnacentral:rRNA from 1 species
UCUUUCGGGAUUUAGUGGCGGACGGGUGAGUAACGCGUGAGAAUCUGCCUUUGGGACUGGGACAACAGUUGGAAACGGCUGCUAAUACCAGAUAUGCCAGAAAGUGAAAAGGGUAAAACCGCCUGAAGAUGAGCUCGCGUCUGAUUAGCUAGUUGGUGGGGUAAGAGCCUACCAAGGCAUCGAUCAGUAACUGGUCUGAGAGGAUGACCAGUCACACUGGGACUGAGACACGGCCCAGACUCCUACGGGAGGCAGCAGUGGGGAAUUUUCCGCAAUGGGCGAAAGCCUGACGGAGCAAUACCGCGUGAGGGAGGAAGGCUCUUGGGUUGUAAACCUCUUUUCUCAGGGAAGAACAAAAUGACGGUACCUGAGGAAUCAGCAUCGGCUAACUCCGUGCCAGCAGCCGCGGUAAUACGGAGGAUGCAAGCGUUAUCCGGAAUGAUUGGGCGUAAAGCGUCCGCAGGUGGCACUGCAAGUCUGCUGUCGAAGGCCGGGGCUUAACCCUGGAAAGGCAGUGGAAACUGCGGGGCUAGAGUAUGGUGGGGGCAGAGGGAAUUCCUGAUGUAGCGGUGAAAUGCGUAGAGAUCAGGAAGAACACCGGUGGCGAAAGCGCUCUGCUAGGCCGAAACUGACACUCAUGGACGAAAGCUAGGGGAGCGAAUGGGAUUAGAUACCCCAGUAGUCCUAGCCGUA